CAGCAGCCGCGGGAAUACGUAGGUCCCGAGCGUUGUCCGGAUUUAUUGGGCGUAAAGCGAGCGCAGGCGGUUAGAUAAGUCUGAAGUUAAAGGCUGUGGCUUAACCAUAGUACGCUUUGGAAACUGUUUAACUUGAGUGCAAGAGGGGAGAGUGGAAUUCCAUGUGUAGCGGUGAAAUGCGUAGAUAUAUGGAGGAACACCGGUGGCGAAAGCGGCUCUCUGGCUUGUAACUGACGCUGAGGCUCGAAAGCGUAGGGAGCAAACAGGAUUAGAUACCCCGGUAGUCCCUGUCUCUUAUACA
rnacentral:rRNA from 1 species